GGAGUGUAGGUGGUGCUUCUGGCUAGCCAAAGGGAACUGCAGCACCAUGUACAGCUCAGUUCUGGUGGGGAGGGUGGAACAGCUUUGAGCUGGUGGCUAGGCCUGAACAUAGAAGGGGCCUGAGGUAAGGGUAAAGCUUUGGUGAAGGCUGGGGCAUGGGCAAGUGACCCAGGGAACUGCAGGCAGUUUUGUUAAAGGGACGUUGUUGCUAUUCUUAGGGUUCUGGGGCUGGGACUUGGAGCAGUGGGCAGACCUGGAUCCUUCUCCCAUAGGACACUGGGGAAGAGGCCUACAGUUGUAUACUGAUAACCACCCAGAAGGGGAUCUGAGCUACUUAGUGGCCUAGUUGGGGCCAGAGAGGGUGAAACCAUUGCUUCCCAGGAGGAAGUCCUGGGGGUAUGGCCUGAUACCAGGGCUGGGAUUCUCUAAAGACUGCAGACACACCUGAGCAGAAGGGGGUGCUUGUGAGAGGUGGAUACCAUGCUAUCAAAGUGCUAGGUCAAGGGACGAAUUCUUCAGUCACCCUAUCUACUGCCUCUCAGGAAGAUGGAUUAUCUACUCUGAUGGGAGCAUCCUUCCUGACUGUGAAGAAAGUGUCUACACUAGAAUUCAAAUGGCACAGCUGUGUAGACACAGUUCCUAGACAACCCCUUACUACCAACUAUAGUGAUGCCUGCACAGGCCAGUACCUGGAAUACUAGUAUCGAAAACAAAGAUUUCAUAACAAACCAAAGUGUAGUCAAGCAAUUGACCAUACAAUUUAUCGUAUUUCUCAGGUACCCAUCAUGGUAACAUCUGAACGUCUCCGAAGACAGUCCUAACUCAAGAGAGGAUCUAAAGAGUGCACACUACAUUUUCUCUACAUGCCAGGAGGAUUCUUUCCCCCUUCUUUCGGAGCAUAGACUUGUCAAGAGGAUUAAUCAAUCACCCAUCUACAAUGGGGAAUACUGUGGACUAGCAGCUGGAAAAUGGGAAACUGCAUCUCCAUGCUCCAAAUAGGGCUUGUAGAAAUCGUAUACUUAACGACUCUAAUGAUGGACUUCAGAAGCCUGAGGAAAGCUUGAAAAUCCUAAUGAUGCAUCUUCUGGGACUUUCUACAGAACAAAACAGGGGAGGGAGGUUGCCUUUCGUUUUUAUACAAUACAGAUACUAAUUUUCUGACUUUUAAAACAUGGAUGAUUGUCAGUGACUAAGUCUAAUUAAAGACAAUGCCACUAAAGAGCAGGAAUCAAGUAUUUAAGAGAUACAAAAUAUGGAUGAUGAAAUGGAGUGGAAAACUGUACAUUGAACCAUGUAAUUGCAGUACUCUGGUUUCACCCUUAUGAAAAUCAACAUCAUAUACACAGAGGAUGAUAAAAAUAAAAUGUUAACUGAAAUAAUCGUGUAGUAAAUUGGUUUGAAAACUAUGAAUGUUGUCCUGCAGAUAAUUAAGAUUUCAAUUCUAUUUCCUUUUGA